UAUCUUAGAUAAUCACUUAAUAAAUAAAUUUACUGAAGUUCUUUCAAUUACAAUUGGUAUAAAUCUGUGGUUUGCUCCACAGAUUUCUGAGCAUUGUCCAAAGAAUAAUCCAGGUCGAUUUAUCGUGAAUGUUCCUUGAUUUAACCGACCUGGCGUUGCAUCAAUUUUAACCCCUAAUGCAGGAACUGCUCAUGAGUGUAGAGCAUCUGAUGCUCUUGUUAAUACUCGUACUUCUGUAUUUAUUGGUAGGAUUGUUCGGUUAUCUACAACUAGUAGUCGGAAUCCAUCAUUUUCUAGGUCUUGUUCUGGUGUUAUAUAAGUGUCAAAUUCUACGUCUAUGAAGUCUGAAUAUUCAUAUCUUCAAUAUCAUUGUCGUCCAAUGGUUUUAAUUGUAAUUAUUGCAUCUACUGAAUCAUCAAGUAAAUAUAAUAGUCGUAAUGAUGGAAGGGCAAUAAAAAUUAAUGUAAUUGCUGGUAAAGCUGUUCAGAUUGUUUCAAUUAAAUGUCCAUGAAGUAUAUUACGGUUAGUAUAGGCAAUAAAUAAUAUAUAACUUAGGGCAUAACCUACAAUUACUGUAAUUAAUAAUAAUACGACCAUAAUAUUGAAGAUAUGAAUAUUCAGACUUCAUAGACGUAGAAUUUGACACUUAUAUAACACCAGAACAAGACCUAGAAAAUGAUGGAUUCCGACUACUAGAUGUAGAUAACCGAACAAUCCUACCAAUAAAUACAGAAGUACGAGUAUUAACAAGAGCAUCAGAUGUUCUACACUCAUGAGCAGUUCCUGCAUUAGGGGUUAAAAUUGAUGCAACGCCAGGUCGGUUAAAUCAAGGAACAUUCACAAUAAAUCGACCUGGAUUAUUCUUUGGACAAUGCUCAGAAAUCUGUGGAGCAAACCACAGAUUUAUACCAAUUGUAAUUGAAAGAACUUCAGUAAAUUUAUUUAUUAAGUGAUUAUCUAAGAUAAUUUAA